AUUGAACGCUGGCGGCAGGCCUAACACAUGCAAGUCGAACGAGUGGCGGACGGGUGAGUAAUGUCUGGGAAACUGCCUGCUGGAGGGGGAUAACUACUGGAAACGGUAGCUAAUACCGCAUACCAUCAGAUGUGCCCAGAUGGGAUUAGCCAGUUGGUGGGGUAACGGCUCACCAAGGCGACGAUCCCUAGCUGGUCUGAGAGGAUGACCAGCCACACUGGAAAUGAGGAACGGUCCCGACUCCUACGGGAGGCAGCAGUGGGGGAUAUUGCAGAAUGGGCGCAAGCCUGAUGCAGCCAAUGCGCGUGUAUGAAGAAGGCCUUCGGGUUGUAAAGUACUUUCCGCGGGGAGGCGUUACCCGCAGAAGAAGCACCGGCUAACUCCGUGCCAGCAGCCGCGGUAAUUC
rnacentral:rRNA from 1 species